rnacentral:rRNA from 1 species
UACAGAGGUCUCAAGCGUUGUUCGGAUUCAUUGGGCGUAAAGGGUGCGUAGGCGGCGCGGUAAGUCGGGUGUGAAAUCUCGGAGCUUAACUCCGAAACUGCAUUCGAUACUGCCGUGCUUGAGGACUGGAGAGGAGACUGGAUUUACGGUGUAGCGGUGAAAUGCGUAGAUAUCGUAAGGAAGACCAGUGGCGAAGGCGGGUCUCUGGACAGUUCCUGACGCUGAGGCACGAAGGCCAGGGGAGCAAACGGG